rnacentral:rRNA from 1 species
AUACGGAGGGUGCAAGCGUUGUCCGGAAUCAUUGGGUUUAAAGGGUCCGCAGGCGGAUUAAUAAGUCAGUGGUGAAAUCCUCUCGCUCAACGAGAGAACUGCCAUUGAAACUGUUAGUCUUGAAUUCGGUCGAAGUAGGCGGAAUGUGUCAUGUAGCGGUGAAAUGCAUAGAUAUGACACAGAACACCGAUAGCGAAGGCAGCUUACUAGACCUGGAUUGACGCUCAUGGACGAAAGCGUGGGGAGCGAACAGGAUUAGAAACCCCAGUAGUCC